rnacentral:rRNA from 1 species
GAUGAACGCUGGCGGCGUGCCUAAUACAUGCAAGUCGAGCGAACAGACGAGGAGCUUGCUCCUCUGACGUUAGCGGCGGACGGGUGAGUAACACGUGGAUAACCUACCUAUAAGACUGGGAUAACUUCGGGAAACCGGAGCUAAUACCGGAUAAUAUAUUGAACCGCAUGGUUCAAUAGUGAAAGACGGUUUUGCUGUCACUUAUAGAUGGAUCCGCGCCGCAUUAGCUAGUUGGUAAGGUAAAGGCUUACCAAGGUAACGAUGCGUAGCCGACCUGAGAGGGUGAGCGGCCACACUGGGACUGAGACACGGUCCAGACUCCUACGGGAGGCAGCAGUAGGGAAUCUUCCGCAAUGGGCGAAAGCCUGACGGAGCAACGCCGCGUGAGUGAUGAAGGUCUUCGGAUCGUAAAACUCUGUUAUUAGGGAAGAACAAAUGUGUAAGUAACUAUGCACGUCUUGACGGUACCUAAUCAGAAAGCCACGGCUAACUACGUGCCAGCCGCCGCCGUAA